rnacentral:tRNA from 1 species
GCCUUCUUAGCUCAGUGGUAGAGCGCAUCACUCGUAAUGAUGAGGUCAGUCGUUCAAUCCGGCUAGGAGGCA